rnacentral:rRNA from 1 species
AGAGUUUGAUCAUGGCUCAGGACGAACGCUGGCGGCGUGCCUAAUACAUGCAAGUCGAGCGAGCGGAACCAACAGAUUUACUUCGGUAAUGACGUUGGGAAAGCGAGCGGCGGAUGGGUGAGUAACACGUGGGGAACCUGCCCCUAAGUCUGGGAUACCAUUUGGAAACAGGUGCUAAUACCGGAUAAUAAAGCAGAUCGCAUGAUCAGCUUUUGAAAGGCGGCGUAAGCUGUCGCUAAGGGAUGGCCCCGCGGUGCAUUAGCUAGUUGGUAAGGUAACGGCUUACCAAGGCGACGAUGCAUAGCCGAGUUGAGAGACUGAUCGGCCACAUUGGGACUGAGACACGGCCCAAACUCCUACGGGAGGCAGCAGUAGGGAAUCUUCCACAAUGGACGCAAGUCUGAUGGAGCAACGCCGCGUGAGUGAAGAAGGUUUUCGGAUCGUAAAGCUCUGUUGUUGGUGAAGAAGGAUAGAGGUAGUAACUGGCCUUUAUUUGACGGUAAUCAACCAGAAAGUCACGGCUAACUACGUGCCAGCAGCCGCGGUAAUACGUAGGUGGCAAGCGUUGUCCGGAUUUAUUGGGCGUAAAGCGAGCGCAGGCGGAAAAAUAAGUCUAAUGUGAAAGCCCUCGGCUUAACCGAGGAACUGCAUCGGAAACUGUUUUUCUUGAGUGCAGAAGAGGAGAGUGGAACUCCAUGUGUAGCGGUGGAAUGCGUAGAUAUAUGGAAGAACACCAGUGGCGAAAGCGGCUCUCUGGUCUGCAACUGACGCUGAGGCUCGAAAGCAUGGGUAGCGAACAGGAUUAGAUACCCUGGUAGU